AUGGAAAACCAAGGCAAGCACAGUGCACAGCAUGUACCGGGCCGGGACCGGGCGGGCCAAGAAGCUAGACGAAAAGGAAGGGAGAUCGAGGAGGCUGGCGCAAGCCUACUAGGAGCGGCGAGCAACAAGUGUCAUCGGGUCGGGAUCGGAAACGGCGGGUCGAAGGACCGUAGCCAGUCGGAGUCCGGCAGGUUGAGCGGCGGCAGCGAGUGGCUUCCUCUGGUGGAGCUCCCCGCGCGGACGUCCUGCAUGGUGAGGAGCGCGGCCACGGUGUUGCGGAAGAUGCCCUGCUCCGCCUCCGCGACGGCGAGCGCCGCGGCGGCGGCCUGGCCCCGAUCGCGCGCCUCCGGGAACACGGCCUCCAUCAAGGACUCGCACUCCCGCACCAGAUGCGACACCGUCUCCGUCUUGAAGAAGGGCUGCUGCAGCACCGACUCCAUCACGGCAAGCCGCAGCAUCGCGCCGGUGCGCUUGUCGUACUUCUUGAGGAUCUUGGCCAGACCUGCAGGCUUUCAAUUCAACUCCGUACAGCUAGCUAGCUAG
rnacentral:lncRNA from 1 species